ACGCGCAUGAAUGGAUGAUGGGAGACCGCCUGGGAAUACCAGGUGCUGUAAGCUUUCUUGUAUUUACUCUUUAAAUUUCAAGUUUCCUUUUUACGCGGUUUACUGUUAGAGUAAAUCAUACACACGCACGCACAGGCGCCGCCAGUGAAAUACCACUACUCUUAUCGUUUCCUCACUAACCCGGUGAGGCGGGGAGGCGAGCCCCGGUGGGCUCUCGCUUCUGGCUUCUACGCCCGAUCUCGUCCGAUCUCGGAAGCAGGGUUGGGCCCGGUUAGUACUUGGUGGGAGACCGCCCAGUGUAAGCUUUCUUGUAUUUACUCUUUUCAAGUUUUUCCUUCGACGCGAUAUAGAUAAAAACUAUAUAAACCAAAUGUAAGGAACAGCCUAGUUUAAUGAGUGUUGGUGCUGCUUUCGCUUACGACCAGAUG
rnacentral:rRNA from 1 species